rnacentral:tRNA from 1 species
GGGGCGGGUGGUGCGGUGGGUAGCACUGUCGCCUCACAGCAAGAAGGUUCUGGGUUCGAUUCCCGUAGGCGGCCCUGGUGAGAGAGAGUUUGCACAUGCUCUCUGUGCUUGGUUGGCUUCUCUCCAUUGUAGGUGUGAGUGUGUGAGUGAAUGGUUGUCUGUCUAUGUGUUGCCCUGCGAUGGACUGGCGAUCUGUCCUGCCUCUCGCCCGUAGCCAGCUGGGAUAAACUCCACCCCCGUGACAGCACCCCCGUGACCCCGCACUAGGGAGUAAGCGGUUAAGAAAAUGGAUGGAUGGAUAGAAAUGCAUGGAAUCUGUCGAUUCUUCUAAAAAGCAUGCAGGAUGCAGAUCUUCAGUCUAACACUCUCCCGCCUGAGCUACUCCAGGAAAAAAGAGUUACUUUGUGGUAGUCAAAAGCAGCAAUUUUUUUUAAUUAUUUGUUGUAGCCUAAAUCUCUGACAAAAAUAUAAGACGCAAUCCAACAAAAGCUGCUCUGGCCAGACACACCAACAAUUGCAGCCACUCAAGUUCAGGUCAGCCCUGGUGUACCACAGGGUAAACUCUGCUAGAGUUUUUCCAUCAGCACCUAUGUUGUCAUCAACUUUGAGCCUGUAGCUAAUCCUAGGCAUAAAUGACUGAACACACUCAUUGCUCUGGUAAGAAAUUUACAGCAAAGAAACACAGUCGUUAGUCUGAUAAGAACUUACUCCCUUACUCAGGGCUCAGACUUAAUAUUGUCCCAUUUCAGGCUGCAGGUUGAUGGUGAGUCUUGCUUCUCUGAUUUCAAUCCAUUUAACCUUCACAGGCGUGCACUGGCUUCUGAAGACAGGGAUUACAGGUCAUAUCCAGGGUUUCAACGACCAAUGUCCCGCUCCCUACCACAACCACGUGUGUUGCAAUACUGAAGAAAAGAAAAAAAAAACUAGUGCUGCUUGUACAAAUGUGAGAGAAAAUGACAUCCUCUGUUUCUGCCUGGCAUUGAAGCAGGGACCUUUUGCGUGUGAAGCAAACGUGAAAACCGCUACACUACAGAAACUUUGAUUUGAUUAGGGCUUUGGUUAUGGCAGAGUUGGUACAGUAUCUCACCUCUUCAAAGCUAAUACUUAAACUCGCUGUUGCUUUAUCAGAAAGAUUUAAUGGUUCCUUGAAAAUUAUUUGUUGUAGCCUAAAUCUCUGACAAAAAUAUAAGACGCAAUCCAACAAAAGCUGCUCUGGCCAGACACACCAACAAUUGCAGCCACUCAAGUUAUUUGCUCUCUUUUCAAAACCAUUUACCAACUUAAGCCACAUUCUUCCUCAAGUACAAAUUGCUGCCCCUGAGCAUGUUAGGAUUGAGUGGAUUGGAGAGGCCUGGAGGUUUUGGUAUCUUUCCAGGUCAGCCCUGGCGUAGCACAGCAGAAUCUGCCAAAAUCAAUUUCAAUCAAGUUGCUGGAAACACAAACAUGUUUUAG